UACGAAGGGGGCUAGCGUUGCUCGGAAUUACUGGGCGUAAAGGGCUCGUAGGCGGCCAACUAAGUCGGACGUGAAAUCCCUCAGCUUAACUGGGGAACUGCGUCCGAUACUGGAUGGCUUGGAUUUGGGAGAGGGAUGCGGAAUUCCAGGUGUAGCGGUGAAAUGCGUAGAUAUCUGGAGGAACACCGGUGGCGAAGGCGGCAUCCUGGACCAAUAUUGACGCUGAGGAGCGAAAGCUAGGGGAGCAAACGGG
rnacentral:rRNA from 1 species